rnacentral:rRNA from 1 species
GCGUAGAUAUCUGGAAGAAUACCAGUAGCGAAGGCGAUCGCCUGGCCACAGACGGACGCUGAGGCUCGAAAGCGUGGGGAGCAAACAGGAUUAGAUACCCUGGUAGUCCACGCCGUAAACGAUGGACACUGGAUAUCGGGUGAUUCAAGUUCAUUCGGUGUCGUAGCUAACGUGGUAAGUGUCCCGCCUGGGGAGUACGCUCGCAAGGGUGAAACUCAAAGGAAUUGACGGGGGCCCGCACAAGCGGUGGAGCAUGCGCUGUAAUUCGAUGCAACGCGAAGAACCUUACCUGGGUUUGACAUGGGGGUGAAAGUCUCCAGAGAUGGAGGCCCUGCCUUCGGGAACACUCUACACAGGUGCUGCAUGGUUGUCGUCAGCUCGUGUCGUGAGAUGUUGGGUUAAGUCCCGCAACGAGCGCAACCCUCGCCCUUAGUUGCCAUCAGGUAAUGCUGGGAACUCUAGGGGGACCGCCUAGUCCAACCAGGAGGAAGGUGGGGAUGACGUCAAAUCAUCAUGGCUCUUACGUCCAGGGCUAGACGCGUGCUACAAUGGUCGGUACAAAAGGAUGCCAAGCCGUGAGGCUGAGCUAAUCCCAAAAACCGGUCUCAGUCCGGAUUGGAGUCUGCAAUUCGACGCCAUGAAGCUGGAAUCGCUAGUAAUCGCGGAUCAGCAUGCCGCGGUGAAUAUGUUCCCGGGCCUGUACACACCGCCCG